rnacentral:lncRNA from 1 species
GAGUGGCUAAUUUUCUUUCAAGCUUGGGUUGAAGGUGAAGUCUCAACAUGUGUCAUGGGCUUAAUUUGGUAAAUUUAUUUUCUCUUCCCCUCUAAUUUUUGUGGAUGUUUUGACUUCUCGUCGACAAAUAAUAAUAGUCUUGUCUAGAUACCGCCUUGGUUACACCGGCUCUCUAGUAUAAGGUUAUUAUUAUUUGGCACGAUAAGCCCUUAGCACCAUAUUGAUUAGAGCGUGGUUCAUGAGGUGUGGAUUCCCCCCUCAUGAUUUAAUUGGCAUUAAUACGGAUUAUUUAGCCUAUGAUGCAUGUUGAUACGGAUCCAGAUACCCAAGUACGUCAUUUCAAUAGAAUUAUCUUCAAUUUAUUCUCGCCAUUGCAAUUCCAAUUUUAGAAUUUAUUCUCACCAUUUUAAUUUAAGUUUUAGCAUAUACCAAAUCAUUUCCACCAUAAAUCCAACAACCCAUUUACAAAAUUAAUUCUAUACACAAUUAAAAUCCACCUCCUCGUGGGAUCGACACUCGUCACCAUAGAUCUAUACCACAAUAGAUUCGUGCGCUUGCGAGUACAUUAAAAUUUGCACAACAAGUUUUUGGCGCCGUUGCCGGGGAGGUAAGUAAUUUUAAUUCAUAGAAUUAAUUUUUGUGAAUAAUUUCUUUUAUUUGUUUUCUUGUAUUUUUU